AAGUCUGAUGGAGCACGCCGCGUGAGUGAAGAAGGGUUUCGGCUCGUAAAACUCUGUUGUUGAAGAAGAACAUAUCUGAGAGUAACUGUUCAGGUAUUGACGGUAUUUAACCAGAAAGCCACGGCUAACUACGUGCCAGCAGCCGCGGUAAUACGUAGGUGGCAAGCGUUGUCCGGAUUUAUUGGGCGUAAAGCGAGCGCAGGCGGUUUUUUAAGUCUGAUGUGAAAGCCUUCGGCUCAACCGAAGAAGUGCAUCGGAAACUGGGAAACUUGAGUGCAGAAGAGGACAGUGGAACUCCAUGUGUAGCGGUGAAAUGCGUAGAUAUAUGGAAGAACACCAGUGGCGAAGGCGGCUGUCUGGUCUGUAACUGACGCUGAGGCUCGAAAGUAUGGGUAGCAAACAGGAUUAGAUACCCUAGGUAGUCAA
rnacentral:rRNA from 1 species